rnacentral:misc_RNA from 1 species
UACCGUAUUCUGCUCACGAACGAUUGUGUCUUGAGAAAGACUCAAAACUUUGUGUAGCUUAACGAAACUUUUGCCUUACCUGGUCGUUAUGGUUUCGAGUGCGCGUAGCAGAUGCUAGGAGACCCCGUCCAGGGGUCCUUCGCUCUUGUUAAUUCUCCCUCGAUCGUCCGGUCCACGGGUGAUGAAGCUCUCUGAGAGGGGUUGAGCGAGGUUUGACCAGUCUGUGGCGAGGUUAUCGAGGAAAGCUUUCUUCAUGGACCUCGGUAUGUCCGUUACUUUUUUUUUGUUGUGGUGUCGGUACGUACGACCCUUUCGGUUGCUCGCUCGAUUAAAGGACGAUUUCGAUCGACCUUUAGAGGGACUCGAAAGGGUACGUUCAAAGAGUUCUUGAUGGAGACGUCAAGCCGCCGAACAACUACAAUUUCCCCGGUCGUCUAACAAUAUUUUUUUUCCACACGAUCAAGGACACAUUUAGUUUGUUGCGAGCCGUCGUCUUUUCGACGGCCGUCUCACUUAAUUUGAAACGUUAACGUACGACCGUAGGCGUUGGAUCACUCGGCUCGU